rnacentral:lncRNA from 1 species
CGAGAAAAUAGGUUUUUCUCUCUUUUGAAUAUCAGGUCUAAAAUAGGUUUUACAACUUCACAUUUGUUCUUCAUGAGAAGUGGGUGGUUUAUUCAUUCUAAAUCUCUUUUCCUAAACACUGGAACAUUGGUAUUUUGAUCGCUGUGAUUUGGAUCAUUUAAUUUUUUUAAAAAAAUCUAUAGUGUGACUGGCAAGUCAUCUAAUGCAAGAGCUCCACAGUACUUUCUCCUUUUUCAUCACAGAACACAUAGUUCCAAAGGUGCAGUGUUUCCACAACUCAUCUCUGCCUUCAUAAAUCAAUGAUCUCUAAAUUGUGAUUUGAACCUAUAGUGUCUGCACAUUUUCUAGUGUUUCUUAGUUCAUUAAUUGCUCUUUCCCUUAUUUUUUUGACUCGCCUUUCUUUUAUAUUCAUAAGAUAGAAAGGUCCAGAAGAAGAAUAUUCAGUGAAUCUUUUUUAAAAUCUGUUACCACUUUCUGUAGAGGUAAUACAUAAGAAAACUUCAUUUUUUAGAAUUAGAACUAAGGAAAUAAGCCACUUCAGUUUACAUUUUU